GUGGGUAGGUAGGCCUACCAAGGCAACGAUCAGUAGCCGGCCUGAGAGGGUGAACGGCCACAUUGGGACUGAGACACGGCCCAAACUCCUACGGAAGGCAGCAG
rnacentral:rRNA from 1 species